UUCCAAUUUUUUUUUAAAAGUGAAAUGUUUUUGUAUUUUAAUUUCAUUUUCUUCGUUUUAGAGCACUAAAAACAGCCCCUGGGUUUUUGCUUAGAAUAAGCUCUCAGGAUUUGAUAUAUGUAUUUAACAAGUUGCAUACGUUCUCCUCUCCCUCACCCCACUAGA